UGACGAGUCCCAAAUAGGACGAAAUGCGCGUCCUGGAU
rnacentral:hammerhead_ribozyme from 1 species